GGUGGCUGUGGCUUAGUGAUACAGCUUCUGUUUUGCAUGCUGAAGGUUCGAAGUUCAAUCCCUGGCAUCUCCU
rnacentral:tRNA from 1 species